rnacentral:lncRNA from 1 species
GGAAAAUAAUUUUAAUUUGUGAAAGCCUGACUGGAAAUUAAUUUUAUUUAUUAUAUUCUUUAUUGAAGUCUAAUAUAUUUUAUAUAUCCCCUCUAAAUUUUAUACCCUCAUAUUAUAGGAUAAAAAAUGACUCACUAGUAUGGGCAAACCAAAUAAAAAAUGAUUUCCUAUUACUUUGGUAAGCAACACUGGGCCCAAACACAUUUUUGUUUCCGAGUGGUAAACAGUAAACAAGGUUUUGCGCCAGCAAGCUAAGUCUAAACAAAUGUGAUUCAUCAAAGCGUCUCAUCCACAGCCUUUCCAGUCUGUCCCCUUAUGUUUGCCUGUCCUAAGCUAGCAUCCCAAGGAUCGCCAUGGCAGCUCCGUCCUUGGCUCGUAGACCUGUCUGGAAGUGCAGCUGUAGCCGUUGGUCUGAGGAGAAGGGUUUUUGAGACAAUGAACAAUCUAAAUCGCCACAACACUUCAGAUCACGGGAGAGAUUUAUAAUACACUUAGACGGCAGAGCUGUAGAAUACAGUGGACACAAAAUACCUAAGAACUACACGAACAGUCAGGUAGGUUACGUUCUGAUGACCACAGAGCUAGCCACAUAGUUACACAAACCCUCAGCCCCA